rnacentral:rRNA from 1 species
CCUACGGGUGGCAGCAGUGGGGAAUAUUGCACAAUGGGGGAAACCCUGAUGCAGCAACGCCGCGUGAGUGAAGAAGUAUUUCUGUAUGUAAAGCUCUAUCAGCAGGGAAGAAGAUGACGGUACCUGAUUAAGAAGCCCCGGCUAACUCCGUGCCAGCAGCCGCGGUAAUACGUAGGGGGCAAGCGUUAUCCGGAUUUACUGGGUGUAAAGGGAGCGCAGACGGCAGUGAAAGUCUGGCGUGAAAGCCCGGGGCCCAACCCCGGAACUGCUCUGGAAACUGGGGGGCUAGAGUACUGGAGGGGCAGGCGGAAUUCCUAGUGUAGCGGUGAAAUGCGUAGAUAUUAGGAGGAACACCAGUGGCGAAGGCGGCUUGCUGGACUGUAACUGACACUGAGGCUCGAAAGCGUGGGGAGCAAACAGGAUUAGAGACCCGGGUAGUC